rnacentral:rRNA from 1 species
GACGAACGCUGGCGGCGUGCCUAAUACAUGCAAGUCGAACGCACAGUUUAUACCGUAGCUUGCUACACCAUAGACUGUGAGUUGCGAACGGGUGAGUAACGCGUAGGUAACCUACCUGGUAGCGGGGGAUAACUAUUGGAAACGAUAGCUAAUACCGCAUAAUAUUGAUUAUUGCAUGAUAAUUGAUUGAAAGAUGCUAUUGCAUCACUACCAGAUGGACCUGCGUUGUAUUAGCUAGUAGGUGAGGUAACGGCUCACCUAGGCGACGAUACAUAGCCGACCUGAGAGGGUGAUCGGCCACACUGGGACUGAGACACGGCCCAGACUCCUACGGGAGGCAGCAGUAGGGAAUCUUCGGCAAUGGACGAAAGUCUGACCGAGCAACGCCGCGGGAGUGAAGAAGGUUUUCGGAUCGUAAAGCUCUGUUGUAAGAGAAGAACGGGUGUGAGAGUGGAAAGUUCACACUGUGACGGUAUCUUACCAGAAAGGGACGGCUAACUACGUG